GCUGGGCACUGUGGCACAUACCUGUAAUCCCAGCAACUUGGGAGGCUGAGGCAGGAGGAUCACAAGUUCAAAGCCAGCCUCAGCAGAUUAGCAACUCAGUGAGACUCUGUCUCUA
rnacentral:sRNA from 1 species